GUCCGAGCUCUUGGACGGUCUGAGGGGGAGGAGCAGGACGCCUGGGCGUGCAGGUCGCCCACGCGCUCUGUCGUCUUGCAGUGUCGCUCUUGGCUCCCGAAGGACGCUGCGGGUCGCCGUGGCGCUCCCCGGGUGACCGUGCAGUCCCGGUCUCCCCGCCGCGGGCUGGUGUCACAGCUGUGAGGUCGGGCUGGGCCCUCCGGGGCGGGAAGGACGGACUGGUUCUGCUAGACACCGUUGAGCAAGCUCAGGCGUGUGUUCUUGGAUCGCAUUCUCUUAUGUGGAAAUUUUUGUUUAAGUGGGAUAAGAGCAAAGGGAAGAAGAUAGCAAGACCUCGAAGAUCCGAGCGUGAAAUGUUUGAUCCCUCGGGUGGGGUAGGAGAGCACCCUCUACGGAUGAGCACCAGGCACGAGCAUUACUGUAGCAGAGACUGGACCGGCUCGAGGAGGAAGGGGCUGGCGCGGAACACGAGGUUUUGCUGAGUUGUCCAAGUGGGACUCGAACUUGGGGUCUUCGUACUUCACCCUCCCUUGGUGAUUACAGGCGAUCUUUCAUCUAGAACUGAGAGAUUAAAUCUCUGUUGCAACCCCAGGAAACUAAUACGAGGCUCAAGAUAACCACGGGAUAAGUUUGGAGACCCACUGGGCCCACUUUAAGAAGGAUAUCUGAGUGAAAACUCCUUGCUCAGUUGACCAUCUAUCCGGAAGUACCCACACUAAAUGAAAAAGUGCCAGAAUACCAUGGUAGGUAUAAUGUGGAGGAAAGUGUUCAAAGGUUUAGGAAAGUUAGACUUAGGUAGGGCCUACCUGCACACCACAGGACGGUUCAGAAGACAUACUUUUCACCAUGUCUAUGAGAAAUCUGCAAGGGAAGCCCCAGCAUUUUUUUAAGAGAUUCAAAGUUGCUUCAGAAGUGAUAUAUAUCUUACAGUGACCGUCAAACUGGGCUUCCUUAAUGCAAUGAGGGUAAUAAGAUUCCAGAGUGACAGAAACCAAAGGUACUUAAUUGACAAAAAGUAGGUGGUCAUGGUCACUACAAUGGCCAGUAGAGCUAAAGCAGUAUUGUCUUAGUGACAGACCUAUGACAUUAUUCUUACUUGUCAGGUCACUUCUUGAAGGAAUUGCAAAAGUUAGUGCCACUGUCAAAGAUUUGAAAGUUGCACAGUUGACAAUACUACAGGCCUUUUCAACUCACCUACUUGGCAUAUACGGAACACAGAUGGCUCCAGGAGAAUGACAUUGGAGUCUCAAAUUUAGUCAUAUUGUGAUUUGUUUCACUGUUAGUUUUGAAAAGAUGUUUCCUUGCUUGAGCAAAUCAAUACAUCUGAUAGGUGUGCAGCUGUCUCUAUUGAGGGCAUUUACUUUCAACUAACAAGACUUGCUACAUACCUUCUUCCUGCCCUACCACAGAUAAAUCAGCUCAACCCUGUGUUAUAAUUUAGUCCAUAGCUGCCUCAUUUUCCUUCCUCUUCUAAAGAACCUCACAUUGAAGAUACGCUGAUUAGUCCUGGUGGGCAGGAAGUAGCAAGCACUGUGGACUUACUGGUAAUAUAAUUGCAUGUCAGAGUGUAGGAAGUAAAUCCCCCAAAACUUCAAAAGCUUUCUAUCUCAGUGAAAUUUCUAGGUCCCACGUGAGACUAUCAACAUCACUUCUAAGGUGAAGUAUCUGUGCCCCCCUACAACAGUAACAGCUAAAAAAUGACACUCAGUGCCUACCAGAGG
rnacentral:lncRNA from 1 species